rnacentral:rRNA from 1 species
CCUACGGGAGGCAGCAGUAGGGAAUCUUUCACAAUGGGCGAAAGCCUGAUGGAGCAACGCCGCGUGCAGGAUGAAGGCCUUCGGGUUGUAAACUGCUUUUAUAAGCGAGAAAUAUGAUGGUAACUUAUGAAUAAGGAUCGGCUAACUACGUGCCAGCAGCCGCGGUCAUACGUAGGAUUCGAGCAUUAUCCGGAGUGACUGGGUGUAAAGAGUUGCGUAGGUGGCAUAAUAAGUAGCUAGUGAAAUCUGGUGGCUCAACCAUUCAGACUAUUAGCUAAACUGUUAAGCUCGAGACCGUUAGGGGUAACUGGAAUUUCUAGUGUAGGAGUGAAAUCCGUAGAUAUUAGAAGGAACACCAAUAGCGUAGGCAGGUUGCUGGGACGGUUCUGACACUAAGGCACGAAAGCGUAGGGAGCAAACGGGAUUAGAUACCCCAGUAGUC